GGAGAUCUUCCUUGCAGAAGUUUUCUGGGUUAGAUUGGCAAACAACACAUACACUUUGGAGAAACAUAGCUUUGAUCAAUAUGAGACUCAUUUUACUGUUAUGAACUACAGAGGCAAGUUGAACCAUAUGAACACACCAGAGUUUGUGAAAGAAUUUGAGAAAGAACAUGAGGUCAAGUGGCUGGAUAUCCACUCAAGGAUUAGAAAUAUGAUCAAAUCGGCUUUUGAAGCAGCAGCUGCUGUGCAUCCAGAAAUGCAUCAUAGCAAAUCUAGGGCAAUGUAUGGGGUUGAUGUCAUGCUCGAUAGCCAUUUUCAGCCUAAAUUAUUGGAGAUUACCUACUGCCCAGACUGUACUAGGGCAGUCACAUAUGACACUGAAGCUGUCGUCGGUGGAGGAGAAACUGUUAAAGGAAAAGAGUUCUACAACUAUAUCUUUGGCUGUCUUUUUCUAAAUGAAACUAAUCAUGUUUCCCAAUUGUGAGUGGAACCCGAGCAUUUAGAGGUCUUUCGCAUAAUUUGCAUGCCAAAGUAUAACUCUUGAGUUAUGCAAGUGUGUCAAAGAGAAAAUACAAGCAAAAUGGCGUUGAAACGUAAUCUAUGGAAAUAGUCUGAGCUGUUUGGAUUUAAGAGCACUUUUAGUUUGUCACACUGCCAAGGAGCUCUGUAGAACUGCCUCUUCCCUAACACUCUUGCAGUCAGAGAACCACCAUAUCUCCAUGGUCUAUUGAGUUAUUAACCCCUGUAAUUUAGAGUCUUGAAAAUUCUCCAGCAUAAAUUCCUAGUAUGAUUUUUCACAUCUGUAGCCUGUAAACAUGGUUAAAAACAUGUUUGGGGAUUUUGU
rnacentral:misc_RNA from 1 species